rnacentral:rRNA from 1 species
CAGCCGCCGCGGUAAUACGUAGGGUGCAAGCGUUAAUCGGAAUUACUGGGCGUAAAGCGUGCGCAGGCGGUUAUAUAAGACAGAUGUGAAAUCCCCUGGCUCAACCUGGGAACUGCAUUUGUGACUGUAUAGCUAGAGUACGGCAGAGGGGGAUGGAAUUCCGCGUGUAGCAGUGAAAUGCGUAGAUAUGCGGAGUAACACCGAUGGCGAAGGCAAUCCCCUGGGCCUGUACUGACGCUCAUGCACGAAAGCGUGGGGAGCAAACAGGAUUAGAUACCCCCGUAGUCCCUGUCUCUUAUAC